AUGCCUCUGAAUAACUCUCUAGACGCAGUUUCCUGGAUACUUAAUAGUAGGGGAAAAUUUACUACUAAGUCUGUCUAUGAGUGGUUGGAGAGAAGUUUGUCUGGCCCCAAUUAUAAAUGGGUUUGGAAAGCUACAAUCCCGUUGAAAAUAAAAAUAUCCCUAUGGCAGCUAUUUCGAAACGAUGUGCUUACGCGAGAUAACUUACGCAAUAGGAAUUGGCGUGGGAAUCUUGUUUGUUCUUUCUGUACGAGUAUGGAGCCUGUGAAUCAGUUGUUAUUCACUUGUCCGUUCGCCCGUAUGGUCUGGGAGGUGCUGGGGGUAACAGUGUGGGCUUCAUGCUGCCCUCGUUCUCUUUGGCAAAGCUGGCUUGGUUACAUAAGUUCUUUCUGGGAGGGAAAAAAUUCUAUAUGA
rnacentral:rRNA from 1 species